rnacentral:rRNA from 1 species
UACGGGGGGGGCAAGCGUUGUUCGGAAUUACUGGGCGUAAAGGGCUCGUAGGUGGCCAACUAAGUCAGACGUGAAAUCCCUCGGCUUAACCGGGGAACUGCGUCUGAUACUGGAUGGCUUGAGUUCGGGAGAGGGAUGCGGAAUUCCAGGUGUAGCGGUGAAAUGCGUAGAUAUCGAGAGGAACACCUGCGGCGAAGGCGGGUUGCUGGGCCGACACUGACGCUGAUGCGCGAAAGCCAGGGGAGCGAACGGG